AUUGAACGCUGGCGGCAGGCCUAACACAUGCAAGUCGAGCGGAUGAAGGGAGCUUGCUCCUGGAUUCAGCGGCGGACGGGUGAGUAAUGCCUAGGAAUCUGCCUGGUAGUUGGGGAUAACGUCCGGAAACGGGCGCUAAUACCGCAUACGUCCUGAGGGAGAAAGUGGGGGAUCUUCGGACCUCACGCUAUCAGAUGAGCCUAGGUCGGAUUAGCUAGUUGGUGGGGUAAAGGCCUACCAAGGCGACGAUCCGUAACUGGUCUGAGAGGAUGAUCAGUCACACUGGAACUGAGACACGGUCCAGACUCCUACGGGAGGCAGCAGUGGGGAAUAUUGGACAAUGGGCGAAAGCCUGAUCCAGCCAUGCCGCGUGUGUGAAGAAGGUCUUCGGAUUGUAAAGCACUUUAAGUUGGGAGGAAGGGCAGUAAGUUAAUACCUUGCUGUCUUGACGUUACCAACAGAAUAAGCACCGGCUAACUUCGUG
rnacentral:rRNA from 1 species